AUGAACGCUAGCGGCAGGCUUAACACAUGCAAGUCGAGGGGUAGAAGCAGCUUGCUGCUUUGAGACCGGCGCACGGGUGCGUAACGCGUAUACAAUCUACCUUUUACAGAGGGAUAGCCCAGAGAAAUUUGGAUUAAUACCUCAUAGUAUUUUCGAAUCGCAUGAUUUGAUUAUUAAAGUUCCAACGGUAAAAGAUGAGUAUGCGUCCCAUUAGCCAGAUGGUAAGGUAACGGCUUACCAUGGCAACGAUGGGUAGGGGUCCUGAGAGGGAGAUCCCCCACACUGGUACUGAGACACGGACCAGACUCCUACGGGAGGCAGCAGUGAGGAAUAUUGGACAAUGGGCGCAAGCCUGAUCCAGCCAUGCCGCGUGCAGGAAGACGGUCCUAUGGAUUGUAAACUGCUUUUAUACAGGAAGAAACACCUCUACGUGUAGAGACUUGACGGUACUGUAUGAAUAAGCAUCGGCUAACUCCGUG
rnacentral:rRNA from 1 species